rnacentral:rRNA from 1 species
UACAGAGGUCCCAAGCGUUAUCCGGAUUCACUGGGCUUAAAGGGUGCGUAGGCGGCCAGGUAAGUCAGUGGUGAAAUCUCUGGGCUUAACUCGGAAACUGCCGUUGAUACUAUCUGUCUUGAAUAUAGUGGAGGUGAGCGGAAUAUGUCAUGUAGCGGUGAAAUGCUUAGAUAUGGCAUAGAACAUCGAUUGCGAAGGCAGCUCGCUGGACUAUGAUUGACACUGAGGCACGAAAGCGUGGGGAUCAAACAGG